GGGACACAUGGGAGCAGCCGAUGGGUCUGUGCUGUUGCAGGCUCCCACAUUUGAUGCAAAGUGGUCCCAUGUUAACUCUAAGUUAACUGUGGAAGCUUAGGGGUAUGUCUUACAAUCAUUUAAGCAAUCGUUAAAUAAUAAUAAUAAUAAUGCAAAGAGGGUAGGAAAGGAGAUACAGAGAUACCAAAUGCGGACUUGCACUUUAUUUAUUUAUUUAUUUAAGACAGGGUCUCACUGUGUCACCCAGGCAGUGGGGCAUUCCCAACUCUCCGCAACCUCCACCUCCUGGGUUCAAGCAAUCCUCCCUCCUCAGCCUCCUGAGUAGCUGGGAUUACAGGCGUGCACCACCACACCCGGCUAAUUUUUGUAUUUUUAGCAGAGAUGGGGUUUCACCAUGUUAACCAGUGUGGUCUCGAACUCCUGACCUCAAGUGAUCCUCAGCCUCCCAAAGUGCUGGGAUUACAGGCAUGAGCCACCUCACUUACAUACAGAAACACAGAUAGACUGAGAGUGAACGGAUGGAAAGAGACACACAAGCAAACUGCAAGCCCAGGGGGCCGGCAUUUUGAUUCAAUAGGAUACCAACGGAAGCUGUGUCCCAGAUCUUCUCAAGACCAGCUCCCUGACUUCACUCACACCUCUGUUCCUGUGCCACCUCCCGGGGCAGGACUUCGGUGAAGCAGGGGUGAGGCAGGAGGGGCAGAGAGUAGGUGCUGGGGGCCCCCCUCCCACCAGGCUGGGUCUUCCUCACACCUUUCCACAGGCCCUGGAAUCCAGGACUCGGUCUGACAAGUAUGCAGUAAGGACUUGCCAGAUUGUCUUGGGUCUUUGGUGGUUUACUGGGUCCACAGACUGUAAUUCCCUGUGUGUGCCAGCUCCCGGCCAGAGCCUGGCUAGGGGUGGGGAGGGAUUCCGGCCAUAUGUGUGGAGUUCACGCAGUCAACAAAAUUAUUUCCUGAGCGUCCACUGCAUGCCGCGCCUAGACCAGGCCCUGGGGACGCAUCAGUGAACAGAGCAGAACCAGACCCUGGCCUCAAGGAGCUGACACUCAGGUGACGGGUCUGGGUGGGAGUAGGUGGGGGACAAGACAGGAAGCAGAACAGAACACAGAAAGUAAAUCAUCACGUUUGCUGGCGGGAGCCUGGUGCCCACGGAAAAAGGCGGGGGGCCAGUAAGGGGCGGGAGUGCGGCGCGGAGCUGGGCUUGCUCCGGGUACACUUAUGCAAAAGGUGGCCUCUGUGCCAACAUUCCAAGGAGGGGCACUCUUCCUGGGGCAAGAAAGGGGAUUCCAGAGGGUGCCAGUCACAGCAUGGGGGCGUUCCUGGGCCAUCCAGUUUCAGGGGAGGGUGAGCGAAUCUCAACCAUGCACCUGCUACUCAGGUGCUCAAAGGCCAGCCCUAGGCUCUGUCCCUCGACUGCAGAAGUGCAGGUGACCUGCCAGGUGAUCCUCGGGUUCCGGAGCCCUCCCGCUUGGCCAGGAGGCUGAGGUCCAAGUUUGGCGGGAUUCACAUUUGUCCCCAAACACACUCCUUGAUAGUUUUCUUUCUUUCUCUCUCUUUCUUUCUUCCUUCUUUCUUUCUUUUUUUCUUUCUCUUCUUUUCUUUCCUCCCUUUCUCCUUCCUUCCUUGCUUCCUCCUCUUUCUUUCUUUCUUUUUUUUUAGACAGAGUCUCGUGCUGUCUCCCAGGCCGGAGUGGAGUGGUGCAAUCACAGCUCACUGCAGCCUCUACCUACCAGGCUCAGGCAAUCCUCGUACCUCAGCCUCCCGAGUAGCUGGGACGACAGGUGCACACCACCAUGCCCAGCUCAUUUUUGCAUUUUUACUUUUCCUAGAAACAGGCUUUCACUGUGCAGCCCAGGCUGGUCUCAAACUCCAGGGCUGAAGUGAUCCUCCUGCUCCAGCCUCCCAAAGGGCUGGGAUUACAGGUGUGAGCCACCACACCCAGUCUCCUUGAUUGUUUCUGAUGAACCCCCAGUCCUGCCCAGCCCUCUGAUGCGUCCAAACCCAGGUGUCCCCUCCAGUCUGGCUAUGCAACCACCCUCAUCCGGUCCAAACCCUUCCUCACUUGGUAACAGGCCUCUUUCCUUCCAGAAGCUCCUCCCACCACCUCUCCAGCUCCAGCUUCUCCCUUGGCCCCCUCUGGCUGGUAUUAGCGAACUCCAUUAAGGGACAGGUAUUUGAUAUUCCAAAUAAAAUCUCCACAACCCCCAUGAACCAUCUUAACUGCUGAAAUGCCCACAGGACUUGGGAUUAGAAGCUCCGCAGCACACGGGAAAUGAGGGGAUUUUAUUUAGUGUUUAGGAUUUAUACAUGUAUAUGUUGGUGGGGGGAAGAUGUAUUUAAAUCAAGUAACUUAAUCCACAGAGUGCAAGGCUAAAACCACCAUAGGAAAAGGGUAUUUGCAUAUAUUAAUCUCUUAACAUCCAAAAAGGGGGACUGUGUGGGAGAAAACAGAGAAAUCGCCAGGUGGUGUUUGUUUUUGGGUCUCACCUGCUCAGUGCCGGCCUCACCCGCCCAGCGCCCCUGACACACCUGGCUGGAAAGGGAUUCACAAGGGCAGGGGCCAGUGUCUCUUUCAACCCUCAAUCGCCCAGGGCCUGGUGCUUUCUGUUGAAUGAACAAAUGAAUGCAUGGAUAUGUGGCAGUAAGAAUGACUCUCUCAAUGCAAACGGGGUUUAGAUGACACAGCCCUCUGACCUCUUCUUUCAACAGAUCCAGAGGGGCCCUGGGGCCCAGGCCCUGCCUAGGCACUGGGGUCGGCGCAACACAGAUAAGGACUCAGCGUGCAGGAGCCUCUACCCUGGCUCAGGGGGAAGCAAACACGAGCUGAGAGACUCAUGGAGAGCCCAUGUCCACAGAACGUUCACAAAGGCCUCCUGGAGAAGUCAGAAACCAGGGCAACCAGCAGAGAUGCCACGGGCACCUCGGACACAGGGCCAGGUUCCCCCAGGGAAAGCAGGACCGUAACCUGUUCCCAAUCACCUCCAACCCCAGCGUAUCUCAGUCGUUAGCACUUUGUGGGGCCUUGGGGUGUCUGAAUUCAUUCAGCCCCCUCUUUAGAGAUGGCAAAAUUGAGGGCCAGAGAAAGUGAUUUUUCCAAAGUCACAGAUCUGAGAAACGGUAGGGGCUGGAUUCGAACUCCUGCCGCAUCUACCUGCCCAGUCUGUGCCGCUCACCAGUACCCAGCCCCUCCCUGCCCCAUCUGGAAUUUAAAUUCAGUAGAGCCUCGUUCAUUCAAAGCCUCCUUAAUUCAGAAUUCCUGAGCAGGGGAGUUCUCCUGUGCACCAAACGUGGAUGGGAACCUGGGGUCUACUGAAUAAAUGAACUGCAUAACCAAGAUUGAUGACAGGGUGGCUGGCUCAAAAACUUCAGGGGCGCACACGAGUGUCCACACGGUACAUGCGCCGUUCUCAAAGAACCUUCUUUAAAGCAGCCUCGGAGGCCCUGGUCCACGCCAUGGGGGAGGUGCUGGGGCCAGCAGCACCCGAGCUGACUGGAGAGAGCCCGGUGUCCGGUUCCCAGCUGUGCGACCCGAGGCCAGGUCUGCCCCUCUCUGAAUCUCGGUGAGAAUGCCUUCCCCGUGGAGCUGUUGUGUAUGAGAACAGUGUGAGGCCGGGUACACAGUUGGUGCUCAGUAAGUCACAGCUGUUUUACAAUAAUUAAAAAGCAUCUCUUGGAUCAAACAGCCUGCAUCUCAGUCUUCUUCUAAUUUGCAUUGGUCUUCGCAGAAAUUAAGGUGCACUCUGUUCCCGACGAUUCCAUCUGGCUGGGCUGAGGUGGAGUCCCCUCGAUUCCCCAGUGAGGGCUGGGAACCCAUCACUCGCUCCAGCAACAGGUAUUUAUUUAUCCAGCGUGUGCUUCAUGUCAGGUUCCCUGCUGAGGGCCAGGCACGCAUACAGCAGUGGCCUAGACAGACAAGGUCCCCGCCCUCAGCAGCUCUCGGCCUAGCUAUUGAGCUUGCCUGACAAGGGGCAAAGAGGGUAGGAGGAGGUGGAGUUGUCAGAUUAAAUUCAAGAUGCUGAGUGUCAUUUGAAUUUGAGAUAAUAAAAAAAAAUGUUUACUAUGUGUAUUCCAUUCCAUAUUUGGGAUACAUUUAUACUCACAAGUUAUUUGGUACUUAUCUGACAUUCAUAUUUAACUGAGUGUGCUUUAUUUUAUUUUAUUUUAUUUUAUUUUAUUUUAUUUUAUUUUAUUUUAUUUUAUUUUAUUAUUUUUGGGAUACAGUCUCACUCUUUCGCCCAGGCUAGAGUGCGGUGGCGCGAUCUCAGCUCACUACAACCUCUGCCUCCCGGGUUCAAGCGAUUCUCCUGCCUCAGCCUCCUGAGUAGCUGGGAUUACAGGCACAUGCCACCAUGCCUGGCUAAUUUUUGUAUUUUUAGUAGAGAUGGGGUUUCGCCAUGUUGGCCAGGUUAGUCUCGAACUCCUGACCUCAGGGGAUCCGCCCACCUCGGCCUCCCAAAGUGUUGGGAUUACAGGCCUGAGCCACCGCGCCCAGUCUUUCUUUUAUUUUUAUUUCUAGAUCUUCCAGUGUUUAUCCAGCACCUUCUGCAGGAGUCCUUCUACUGAACCACCAGACCCUGUGGGCUCAGGGACAAACACAGGAACAAGCCCACAGGAUAAUCACACAGGGUGGUCCUGGGAGGGCCUUUGACAAGGUGACUUUGAGCUCAGACCUGAUGUGUGUAGAGGAAGAAAAAAGGCAUCACUCCAUGAGAGAGAAGGAGAGGGAUAGGAGACCCGGGUGAGGCAAGGCAGAGAGCUAGUGGCUGCAAAAGAGACAACACUGACCAGGAGGGGAGGGAAUGGAGGGCUUUGUGGAGGAGGUAGAAUUGAGCCAGGCCCUGAAGGAGGAGCUGGACAGAGAGGAGGUGGUGCAGAGGAACCCUGAUUUGGGAGGAGGUAAGCCAGGUGGUAGGCCCCUGAGAUACCCAUUCUCCAGACACCAUCUCUUACAAGGGCCUUUGGUACCCGAGAAAAUGCACAUGAUAAACUGUCAAGCGAAAAAUACAAGAUACGAAACAGACAGCAGCUGUGGCGUUGCGAGGGGUUGAACUAGACCAUCCGACCUAGCAUGUAGUAGGCGCUCAAUAAACAGGAGAUCGAUGGAAUCAUGCUUUUCCGAUUUGCAGACAAAUGGGGGGAUCAGAGGCACCGCCAAGGUGUUCUUCCUUGUUUUGUGGGUAUUUUACUAAAUGAAACAAUGAACGAAUUGCUUGAAUAGACGUGAGGUUACCGUGACUCCAUCCAGAAACCACUUGGUCCAGACUUUGAAGGCAAUAAAACAGCAGGAAAAGACAGGCCCUGCCUCCCGGUCCCUGACAGGCGCCGUCACUCUUGAGCCUGUGGUAGGGAGUGCAUUUUCAAGUCGCCCGCUGCCUCCCGAGCCUGCCUGCCGGGUCUGCAAGCCUCCAGCCAAGCAGGAGGGAUCAGCUCUGCAGCUUCCGACACCCCAGCCCAUGUCCUCUCAGCCCACUGGGCCCAAGGCGGGUGUAAAAUCCUGGCUCACCAAGCAGAGACUCUGGGAAGAGGCCCAGUGGCCUCCCAGACAGACCAGAGGUCCUGCUCACUGGUGUCAACCUCACUUUCGUUGCAGAGAGGAGGGUCUGGAAUCACAUGCUCCUCCAGGCA
rnacentral:lncRNA from 1 species